UACGAAGGGGGCUAGCGUUGUUCGGAUUUACUGGGCGUAAAGCGCACGUAGGCGGAUCUUUAAGUCAGGGGUGAAAUCCCGAGGCUCAACCUCGGAACUGCCUUUGAUACUGGAGAUCUUGAGUUCGGGAGAGGUGAGUGGAAUUGCGAGUGUAGAGGUGAAAUUCGUAGAUAUUCGCAGGAACACCAGUGGCGAAGGCGGCUCACUGGCUCGAUACUGACGCUGAGGUGCGAAAGCGUGGGGAGCAAACAGG
rnacentral:rRNA from 1 species